rnacentral:rRNA from 1 species
GACGAACGCUGGCGGCGUGCUUAACACAUGCAAGUCGAACGGAAAGGCCUGCUUUCCCUUGUGGAUUGCGGGUACUCGAGUGGCGAACGGGUGAGUAACACGUGAGUGAUCUGCCCCCAACUUGGGUAUAAGCCUGGGAAACUGGGUCUAAUUCCCGAUAGGACUGCAGGGUGGUGCCUGUGGUGGAAAACGAUUUUCUAGUGGUUGGGGAUGAGCUCGCGGCCUAUCAGCUUGUUGGUGGGGUAAUGGCCUACCAAGGCGGCGACGGGUAGCCGGCCUGAGAGGGUGGACGGCCACAUUGGGACUGAGAUACGGCCCAGACUCAUACGGGAGGCAGCAGUGGGGAAUAUUACACAAUGGGCGGAAGCCUGAUGCAGCGACGCCGCGUGGGGGAUGACGGCCUUCGGGUUGUAAACUCCUUUCGACCGCGAGGAAGCCACCUGGUUGGAAGGGUGGUGACGGUAGUGGUAGAAGAAGCACCGGCUAACUACGUG